AAAUUGAAGAGUUUGAUCAUGGCUCAGAUUGAACGCUGGCGGCAGGCCUAACACAUGCAAGUCGAGCGGUAGCACAGAGAGCUUGCUCUCGGGUGACGAGCGGCGGACGGGUGAGUAAUGUCUGGGAAACUGCCUGAUGGAGGGGGAUAACUACUGGAAACGGUAGCUAAUACCGCAUAACGUCGCAAGACCAAAGUGGGGGACCUUCGGGCCUCAUGCCAUCAGAUGUGCCCAGAUGGGAUUAGCUAGUAGGUGAGGUAACGGCUCACCUAGGCGACGAUCCCUAGCUGGUCUGAGAGGAUGACCAGCCACACUGGAACUGAGACACGGUCCAGACUCCUACGGGAGGCAGCAGUGGGGAAUAUUGCACAAUGGGCGCAAGCCUGAUGCAGCCAUGCCGCGUGUAUGAAGAAGGCCUUCGGGUUGUAAAGUACUUUCAGCGGGGAGGAAGGCGAUAAGGUUAAUAACCUUGUCGAUUGACGUUACCCGCAGAAGAAGCACCGGCUAACUCCGUGCCAGCAGCCGCGGUAAUACGGAGGGUGCAAGCGUUAAUCGGAAUUACUGGGCGUAAAGCGCACGCAGGCGGUCUGUCAAGUCGGAUGUGAAAUCCCCGGGCUCAACCUGGGAACUGCAUUCGAAACUGGCAGGCUAGAGUCUUGUAGAGGGGGGUAGAAUUCCAGGUGUAGCGGUGAAAUGCGUAGAGAUCUGGAGGAAUACCGGUGGCGAAGGCGGCCCCCUGGACAAAGACUGACGCUCAGGUGCGAAAGCGUGGGGAGCAAACAGGAUUAGAUACCCUGGUAGUCCACGCCGUAAACGAUGUCGAUUUGGAGGUUGUGCCCUUGAGGCGUGGCUUCCGGAGCUAACGCGUUAAAUCGACCGCCUGGGGAGUACGGCCGCAAGGUUAAAACUCAAAUGAAUUGACGGGGGCCCGCACAAGCGGUGGAGCAUGUGGUUUAAUUCGAUGCAACGCGAAGAACCUUACCUGGUCUUGACAUCCACAGAACUUAGCAGAGAUGCUUUGGUGCCUUCGGGAACUGUGAGACAGGUGCUGCAUGGCUGUCGUCAGCUCGUGUUGUGAAAUGUUGGGUUAAGUCCCGCAACGAGCGCAACCCUUAUCCUUUGUUGCCAGCGGUCCGGCCGGGAACUCAAAGGAGACUGCCAGUGAUAAACUGGAGGAAGGUGGGGAUGACGUCAAGUCAUCAUGGCCCUUACGACCAGGGCUACACACGUGCUACAAUGGCGCAUACAAAGAGAAGCGACCUCGCGAGAGCAAGCGGACCUCAUAAAGUGCGUCGUAGUCCGGAUUGGAGUCUGCAACUCGACUCCAUGAAGUCGGAAUCGCUAGUAAUCGUAGAUCAGAAUGCUACGGUGAAUACGUUCCCGGGCCUUGUACACACCGCCCGUCACACCAUGGGAGUGGGUUGCAAAAGAAGUAGGUAGCUUAACCUUCGGGAGGGCGCUUACCACUUUGUGAUUCAUGACUGGGGUGAAGUCGUAACAAGGUAACCGUAGGGGAACCUGCGGUUGGAUCACCUCCUUACCUUAAAGAA
rnacentral:rRNA from 1 species